UCUCCGUCUCCCCUGCCACUGGAGCUGCAUCAUUCCCAUCCGUUCCCCCCCUGCUCGCGGCUUCUGAGGCGAGGCUGCGCUGCGUGGAGGGAUGUCGCUGGGCGGCGGAGGGAUGUCGCUGGGCGGCGGAGGGAUACGACUGCACGGUGCCGGGAUAGGACUGCACGAAUCAUCGAAUGGGAAAUCCUACUGAAGCAAAGCCACAAGAACUGUCUGACUCCUGCUGUUCCUUUGCACCACUCUCACAGAGACUCUUGCUGUUUUCAGGGAGAAAACAGACACUGGGCGGACUGAAUCCCACUGCACUGGAUCUUCUGCUGAAAAGAUCUCUGAUUGGAUUUCUGGGCAACCUUUCAUCAUUGAAGCGAAGAAUUUGAUAUUCUCACUCCUCACUUAGGGGACACUACUCAGUUUGAAAUCACUGAACUUCAGGAAGACCAAUGGGUUUUUCCCUCUAAAUGCAGGAGUGCUUAAGCUUUGGACCAUUGUGGCAGAUGACAAAUUCAUCAACUUCUGGCUUGCUGCCCCGACUUACUUGUGUUUUGGCUCAACCUACUCAUGUGAAUCCAUUUUCCUGCUCUCAAAGACAUAAAAUCAAAGAGCAGAUUUGCUGUGACUCAUGUGCUUUGUUAUCUAUGUUUAUCAUAAGUAGAAGCCAUACUUCAAGAACACUAGAUGUUCCAAAAGUUGUAGUCUAAAAGUUUUGCUAGAGAGGAAGUGGUGCCACUACUGUCCACUUUUUCUAGAUAGAAAAUCAUACAUUAAAGAAUCAACCCCCAAAUUACCAUAUAGUAAAAAUACAAUAAUUACAACUUAGCACUGAUAGAAGAAAGUAUGCAAGAAAGGCCAGAUGUCUUUAAUGGUUUAAUUUCUACUACCAAGAGCUGUUAAAAAGAUGAAGAAAUACUGUAUUAUGGAAAAGAAUCACAAUGUAAAGAACCAUGGCCAUUGGGCUCUCUGUGCUCAUCUUUCAGCUUUGGGGCUCUUCAAGAUUUACCAUCAUUUUCCCAGAAAAACAGGAAAGGGAUUCAAGACUUGAGCAUUGUAGAAUCAUAGAGCAGCCUGGGUUGGAAGGGACCUUGAAAGAUCAUCUGCUCCAGCCUUUUGUGGGAAAGGAAGCCUGGAGACUUUUUCCCACACCCUGUCCAGCUGCGUAUGGAACCCUCCAGCAAUGGGGACUUGGCCUGUCCCUGGGGAAGUUGUUCCAGUGAAUGAUUGUUCUCUCUUUCAGCAGGACUCCUCCCAGACCUUCAUCUGUAGUGGGCUCUAGGGUUAUUCUGCACCCAGUCCCAGGUGCAGAAUUUUGCACCUGACUUUGUUAGACAUUACACAGUUCUUGCUAGCCCAGUGUUCCAGCCCGUCCAGGUCUCUGUGUGAGAUGUCUCUGCUUUCUGAUGUGUCCUCCUCACCAACCAGUUAGGUGUCAGCACACUUGGUGAGAGUGUUUUCCAUCCCAAAUAAUUUAUGAAGAUGUUGAACUAUGUGGGACCCAGUAUCAAUCCCUGGAGGACCCCACCUCUGACAGGCUGCCAGCCUGAGUAAAAUACAUUGGUCAGUGCUCUGGGUGCAGACUCUUUGACAAUGUCUUACCUAUCUCAGAGACCAGGCAUCCAACCUGUGUCUUGCCCAUUUGUCCAGAAGACGCCUAUGGAAAAUGUGUUGAAUCUUUUGCUGAAGUCCAACCAACACUGUUCUCCUGUGUAGAUAGGAAGUGGUACCUUGUUAGAAUAGAGUAGGAUAGGAUAGGAUAGGAUAGGAUAGGAUAGGAUAGGAUAGGUCAGUUGAAAGGAACCUACAGUGAUCAUCUGGUCCAACUACCUGAUCACUUUAGGGCUGACCAAAAGCUAAAGCAUGCUGUGAAGGACAUUGUCCAACACUUCUUCAGCAUGGGCAGGCUUGGGGCAUCAACUGCCUCUCUAGGAAGCCUGUUCCAGUGUUUGACCACCCUCCCAGUAAAGAAAUGCUUCCUGAUGUCUGGUCUCCUUAGUGCAGCUUUGGGCCAUUCCCAGGCAUCCUGUCCCUGGGUCGCAGACAGAAGAGCUCAGCCCCUCUCUCUCCAUGUGUCCCUCUUAGGAAGCUGCAGGGAGCCAUGAGGUUGCCCCUCAGCCUCCUUUUUACCAGACUAGACAAACACUUCAGCUCAUUAAAAGGAGUAAAAAAUGUACAAAGUUAAUACUUCAUUAUCCCUCGUGACACAGAGAUGAGAAAAAGGCACUGUAAACUUACCUAGAUUGAGUAGAAUUGAAAAUGAAAUGCAAAUAUUUAUUUUUGAACAUAUUACAGUGACUUUAUCUUACAGAAAUAUUGUUUGUAAGUUAUACAUUCCAAAAGUCAGCAUUUAAACAAUCAUCUCUGUACUUUAAGCCUUUAGUAAAGACAGUAAAAAUCACUGGAAAGUUCUACCUUAUGACCAGUAUUGCAUUGUAAAAAUGAAAAUAUGCAUUAUCAGAUUAAGCACUAUGGAUAUGAUGACAUUUCUAGGCUAACAACACACUUAUAAAGGCCUUAGAAACUAAGAAUUAAACUCUGGUAUUAACAUUCAAAGUAUAACAUUUUCAUUAUUGGGCAUUUUAUCUUGAUAUUGUAUGAAUAUUCAUAGACACACGCCUUGAUUGCCACCAAUGACAAUGGUAAGCAUUUCUGAAUAAUUCAGUUAGGUACAUUAUCUGUAUUUAUGAUACUUGUUCAAUU